GCCUUCCCAGCCACCCCAACAGGUUUCUGGUACAGACCCUCAAGGCCCUGCUCUGCCAUCUGCAGUGGGAGGAUAUUUUGAUGGCAAGGAAGCGCAGGCUUGCCUGGGACCCACUGGUGAAUUCUGACCCCCACCACUCUGCAGUGGGUCUGCAUGUCAGGGAGAUGCGCCACCAGUUGACCCCCUCCCAUUCUCC